CCCCUUUUUUUCUCUAAUCUUCAAAAAAUUAACCCCUUUUUUCUCUAAUCUUCAAAAAGCUAGACCACGCAUUUCUCUAAUCUUCAUUUUUUUUUUGCCCGUUAUUCUCUAAUCUUCAUUUUUUUUUUGCCCGUUAUUCUCUAAUCUUCAUUUUUAAGGGCAUUAUUGUUUAAUCAUUUAACCCAAUCAAAACCCUCAUACGAAC
rnacentral:lncRNA from 1 species